CGAACGGGUGAGUAAUGCGUGACCAACCUGCCCCAUGCUCCAGAAUAGCUCUUGGAAACGGGUGGUAAUGCUGGAUGCUUCAACUUGACGCAUGUCUUGUUGGGAAAGUGUUUAGUGGCAUGGGAUGGGGUCGCGUCCUAUCAGCUUGUAGGCGGGGUAAUGGCCCACCUAGGCUUCGACGGGUAGCCGGCCUGAGAGGGCGGACGGCCACAUUGGGACUGAGAUACGGCCCAGACUCCUACGGGAGGCAGCAGGG
rnacentral:rRNA from 1 species